AAAAAAAAAAACAACCUUUAAAAUGGGCAAAUAAACAUUAGCAGUCAGAACAGGGACUUAAAAUCUCUAAUUUCAAGGGCCACAUGAGGUACUUUCCACCAAACACGAGCGCACUAUAUAUAUAUAUAUAAAAAAAAAGUGAUCAUGCAGUUUUUUUUUUUUGUUUUUUUUUAAACAGGGAACAGGAAGUGUUUCUUAGGUUGUGGAACAGGACUGAACAGAUUCUGGAGAUAUAGUCACUGGUCGAGGCAACAUUCGAAGAAAACAUGGACAAUGAGAACGGUUGUAGAAUGCGUACAGGAGAGCAAAAGGUUUUACCUCACAUUACAGGCCUAUCUCCACAAUUGACCUAGUCAAGAGAGCAGCUUUCAUCUCAGGAUUCUUGAGUCGGAAGGCACAACACUUCAUUCUCCAAGGACAUUGAUGAUUUCCGUAAUUGCUAGCAGAGAACUCUUGGAUCCAAUGAAGCAUUACACAGAACCAUUGCUUGCCAUAUCAUCUUUGUUUAUCUAAUACUAAGUUUUAUUUGCCUAAUGAAAAAUAUUUAAGAUUCCAAAUGCUAAAUCCCCAGCUAGCCACUCCAAGACAUUCAUCUGGUUUAUAUUGAGCUUUUUAAAUAUCGAAUGCAAACGAAAGAGCAUUUUCCAACCAUUUUUAAUGGGCUUCAUGAAGCCAGAUUAAUACAAAAAGAAAAAAGGGAUUCGGAGGUGUUGAUAUACAGAACAGAGCACAUUUCUUUCCAAGGAGGAACAGAUUCUUGACAUUUAAGAGGAUAAGUUCAGUCCACAGUAGAGCAUACUUUAAAAAGUAAAUUUAGACUGCACAAAGAGUAAAGUACCCUGGGCCAUCACUCCUAAUGUGAGGUGGAAUGACCCAAUUCAGUGGUUUACUCUUUGGAUAAUGAAUAUUUACAAAUCUUUAGCAAUAUCAAGGAGGUUUGCCGGAGUCAACUCCAAUGCAACAUGCCUGCCUUGCUUCACUAAAGGAAUGCAUCACAAAAUGGAGGUGGCAAAGAGCCAUAAAGAACACAUCACAGCUUAUCAAGCUUCUAUUGGAGGAUCAGAUUAGAAUAUUUUCUUGUGGCGAAACUGCCAUUUUAAAAUAGUUUAAAUGCAAAUGCCCACCUAAGCACUUUCAAUGAGCCGAUAUUAAGAAAUUGGUCAAAAAAAUCUUUGAGGAAAUUGGUUUUAGAAGCUAUCAGGCUGUGUUGGACAGGUUAAUUUUCACGCAUGGUUUCAGAGACAGUUUCUUAAACACAUACUAAAAAAAAACACAAAAAAAACAACAAAAGGGCAAUUUCAAACCUCUGUGAGCAUCUAUAACACAAUCGCAAGAUAAAAAUGGCAGAUACAGGUAGCCUCACAGAACUUGAAACUCUUACAGUAACUGAAUGCUCAUGGACAUUAGGCAGCUCCUCAAUGAGAGGAACAUGCUGUGGAUACUUGACACGGUAAAAAAAGGAGUCUGUCUUUAAUAGAACAUUUGAACCAGAACACAAAACGUAAAGAAAAUAAAAAUAAAAAAAUCUUCCAAGAGCGCAUCUUUUUAAAUACAGCCAGCGAAGCGAUGAUCUUGCAAUCAGGAUUUUUUUUUUUUUACUGUGAAGCUGAGGACAA